GUGGGGGGGGCUAUGCUUUUGGUGUCCUCCCUCUCCCUGCACAAAACAUUAACACAGUUCUCUUCUAAUCCACCAGAAAGACGUCCCAACACCCUGUAUGUGAAUGAAGGACCAAUAACAAGAUCUGUUCGUGAUGGGAGAAACAACGCUUUUUGAUGCUUGGAAUCAGCUGAAUCAAUUGCUUCAUAAAAUCAAUUCGUUUCAAAGCACACAAAAUGCCUGGCGGCACCUGCUGGUCAAAAAGGUGUAAAUGUAACAAAAACUCAGCCCAAACAUGCAUAAUGACACCUUUUAUAAACCAACUGCAAAUAUUUUCAUGAAAGUGUAAUCUAUUAAAAGUAAUCUACAAAUAAUUACAUAUGAAGGUUCUUUGAAAUUUGCGUUUUAUUAAUUUGUAGUGCUUGUUUUUGCUUCAUUAGGCAGGGCUAGGCAAACUAGGUCAAUUAGAAGUCAAUUUUCCUUAUCAUAUUAUACUCGCAAAUCAAUUAAAGCUCAUUAAA